CAGACAGGCCAGGUACCUCAUGUGCAACCAUAGAAUGGAAACUGAAUUUACCAGCUUGAAGGAAGUACAAAGUCUGCCGACCCAGAGAAGACCAGAUGAUUUGCUG